rnacentral:rRNA from 1 species
AUUCUAGAGAUGAAAGUUACUUCGGUACAUCGGUGACAGGUGGUGCAUGGUUGUCGUCAGCUCGUGUCGUGAGAUGUUGGGUUAAGUCCGCACGAGCGCAACCCCUAUUGUUAGUUGCCAUCAUUCAGUUGGGCACUCUAGCGAGACUGCCGGUAAUAAACCGGAGGAAGGUGGGGAUGACGUCAAAUCAUCAUGCCCCUUAUGACCUGGGCUACACACGUGCUACAAUGGUUGGUACAACGAGUUGCGAGUCGGUGACGGCGAGCUAAUCUCUUAAAGCCAAUCUCAGUUCGGAUUGUAGGCUGCAACUCGCCUACAUGAAGUCGGAAUCGCUAGUAAUCGCGGAUCAGCACGCCGCGGUGAAUACGUUCCCGGGCCUU